rnacentral:rRNA from 1 species
CGGGGUGGAGUAACGCGUGGAUAACCUGCCUCACACAGGGGGAUAACAGUUAGAAAUGACUGCUAAUACCGCAUAAGCGCACAGUACCGCAUGGUACAGUGUGAAAAACUCCGGUGGUGUGAGAUGGAUCCGCGUCUGAUUAGGUAGUUGGUGGGGUAACGGCCCACCAAGCCGACGAUCAGUAGCCGACCUGAGAGGGUGACCGGCCACAUUGGGACUGAGACACGGCCCAA